GUUGCUGGCCUAUACAUAUUUCUAGCACCAGAUGUGACAAACAAGGGACUGAAACAAGUAUAAAAGGCAGAAAUGAAAACAUAGACAAGACAAAAGGCACCACAAACAAUAGCGCUACUAGUUGUUCCUUAUGUGCUUCUCUUCUUUUUCUUUUCUUUAAUUUUAUUUUUUCAAAUUUUUUUGCUUUUAUGAUUUUGAUAUUUUUCUCAACAAGUAGCAAACAAGAACAAACCACAAAAAUUAUGAGCUCAAUUGGAUAAAACAUGUGGCCUAUAAACAUAUAAUUAUUUUUCUUUGUAAAGUAUAUCAAAACUUGUGGGCUUGAAAACUUAACCUUCCUGACUGAAUUUCAUAUAUCUAAAUUUUAAAAGAAACAGAUAUGAAAUUUCCUAGCAUUCUCUAAAAGUAUAAAAUUUACCAUGUUUCGAGCCUGGAUGUAAAAUUUAUUACUGUUUUAGGAAAGACAUUCUAAAGAGGGUUUUAUGUGGAUACGAUGUAAUACCCGAUUUUAAGGACAAAAUCAGAUACAUAUGUGAGUUUUAAAAGCCAAAUCUCACAUAUAGCUACAAAUAAAGUGUAAUAUCAAAAGACAAUGCAUAAAUAUAACGUACUUAAUAUAAAAGGGAUAACCUUUGAUAGCAAACAGCGGAUAGACAACUCCAACUUCGGGUAUUAACUUCUCUCUACAGGAUCCAACUGACUGGUUGAUCACAAGCCUAAACUCCUCCUGAAGUAUGGGGGGAAUAGCAAGAGUGAGUCCACGUCGAACUCCACAAGUAUAGCAACUAGAUUGUAUAGAUCCCACAAUCUCAUGAUCAAUGUGACAUAAAUAAUGUAAAGCAUUAAACAAUAAAUAAUGAGUAUAUUUAACACACAAGAAUCAUCAUCGUCGAUGCAAGAAUCCCCAAGGCCGCUCUUGACCGUGAGCACGGCUAGUAUAUUAGUUUUAACACUGCAAAGGUUGUACAUCUUUACCCAUGAGUCAUGAUUUACCCUUUCGCUCGAGGCCGUCGACCUCUUAACCCACUACCAAGGAAGGUCGGCAGGGAUCACUAUGAAGCCUUUCAAAAGUUCGUCUAACAUGUUAGGGCCGUAAGGUUUCCUUUGCGCGC
rnacentral:lncRNA from 1 species